rnacentral:rRNA from 1 species
UACGUAGGUGACCAGCGUUGUCCGGAUUUACUGGGCGUAAAGAGCGCGCAGGCGGUCGUUCAAGUCGAGUGUGAAAGCCCCCGGCUCAACUGGGGAGGGUCACUCGAUACUGAUCGACUCGAAGGCAGGAGAGGGAAGCGGAAUUCCCGGUGUAGUGGUGAAAUGCGUAGAUAUCGGGAGGAACACCAGUGGCGAAGGCGGCUUUCUGGCCUGUUCUUGACGCUGAGGCGCGAAAGCUAGGGUAGCAAACGGG